CCUGUUGGAAUAUCUAAUUCCCAACAUUUUUUCUAUCAUGAACAGAUUUUGGACCAGUGAGAAACUAUUCAGGCUCAGAAUUUCAGCCUCCUGAGUUGGAUAUUAAUCUUGAUUCUGCAGAGCACAAUGACAUGGUUGAUGGGUUUUUUCUCGACGGUCCACCCGGUCAAGGCACUCAACCAGAGGAAGCUAAGCCAAAGUGAGGUCUUCUGUAUUUGAGCUCCUUUAGUGUUUUAGGAUCAGAUAGAAUACCAUGCAGGUCUUAUUAGUGUUUUUUUUAA